rnacentral:rRNA from 1 species
AUACGGAGGGUCCGAGCGUUAUCCGAAAUCAUUGGGUUUAAAGGGUCCGUAGGCGGGAAUCUAAGUCAGUGGUGAAAUCUUGCAGCUCAACUGUAAAAUUGCCAUUGAUACUGGAUUUCUUGAAUUAGUGUGAAGUGGUUAGAAUGUGUAGUGUAGCGGUGAAAUGCAUAGAUAUUACACAGAAUACCAAUUGCGAAGGCAGAUCACUAACACUAUAUUGACGCUGAGGGACGAAAGCGUGGGGAGCGAACAGGAUUAGAAACCCCAGUAGUCC